GAAGUGGAGUGUGGGGGUUCAACUUCUGGGCAGAUAUAUUUGCAUAGGUGUUUUGUGAGUUAUAGUUGUUAUCCUAAUGGGAUACCUAACCCUAAGAAAUCAUCAUCUUCUUCGGUUUCAUCUUCAUCAGAUUCUUCGUAUUCUUCUUCGUCAGAUUCUUCGUAUUAUUCACCAUCUUCUUCUUCAUCAGGAACAGAUUCAAAUACAGGGAAGACAGUGGCAAUUAUCUUGGGAGGGGCAGCAAGAGUUGGAUUUUUAGUAAUAUUUGUAUUAUUUGCUAAAAAUGCAGCAAAGAAACAUGAUGAUUAUUGAAAGGGAGAUGAGAUGAGAGUUGGUCACAGGAAUCAAGAACCAAAGAUCCAAUUUUUGAGGUGGGUUCUUUCUUUGGUCUUUUUGAAAUCCAUUACUAAGAUUUGGUUUUUGGUUAGU